rnacentral:rRNA from 1 species
CCUACGGGAGGCUGCAGUGAGGAAUAUUGGUCAAUGGUCGGGAGACUGAACCAGCCAAGCCGCGUGAGGGAUGAAGGUACAGAGUAUCGUAAACCUCUUUUGUCAGGGAACAAAGGCGGGGACGUGUCCCCGGCUGGGUGUACCUGAAGAAAAAGCAUCGGCUAACUCCGUGCCAGCAGCCGCGGUAAUACGGAGGAUGCGAGCGUUAUCCGGAUUUAUUGGGUUUAAAGGGUGCGCAGGCGGGCUGUUAAGUCAGCGGUAAAAGCCCGGGGCUCAACCCCGGCCCGCCGUUGAAACUGGCAGUCUCGAGUGGGAGAGAAGUAGGCGGAAUGCGCGGUGUAGCGGUGAAAUGCAUAGAUAUCGCGCAGAACUCCGAUUGCGAAGGCAGCAUGCCGGCUCCACACUGACGCUGAGGCACGAAAGCGUGGGUAUCGAACAGGAUUAGAUACCCCUGUAGUC